CCUACGGGAGGCAGCAGUAGGGAAUAUUGCUCAAUGGGGGAAACCCUGAAGCAGCAACGCCGCGUGGAGGAUGAAGGUUUUCGGAUUGUAAACUCCUUUUGUUAGAGAAGAUAAUGACGGUAUCUAACGAAUAAGCACCGGCUAACUCCGUGCCAGCAGCCGCGGUAAUACGGAGGGUGCAAGCGUUACUCGGAAUCACUGGGCGUAAAGGGCGCGUAGGCGGGAUAGCAAGUCAGGUGUGAAAUCCUAUGGCUUAACCAUAGAACUGCAUUUGAAACUGUUAUUCUAGAGUAUGGGAGAGGUAGGUGGAAUUCUUGGUGUAGGGGUAAAAUCCGUAGAGAUCAAGAAGAAUACUCAUUGCGAAGGCGACCUGCUAGAACAUAACUGACGCUGAUGCGCGAAAGCGUGGGGAGCAAACAGGAUUAGAUACCCUAGUAGUC
rnacentral:rRNA from 1 species